rnacentral:sRNA from 2 species
GGAAUUUAGCAGCCGAGAUCCGUCACCGACGGAUGCGGGGGACCCACUUAAGGGGCGUAUUCCAGACAAUGGAUAGGGCACUUCCAAGCCCGAGCCCGUCAGCUAACCUCGUAGGCAUUUGGGAGAGCAUGG